rnacentral:rRNA from 1 species
AGAGUUUGAUUCUGGCUCAGGACGAACGCUGGCGGCGUGCUUAACACAUGCAAGUCGAACGGUGAAGCCGGUGCUUGCACUGGCGGAUCAGUGGCGAACGGGUGAGUAACACGUGAGCAACCUGCCCCCGACUCUGGGAUAACUCCGGGAAACCGGAGCUAAUACCGGAUAUGACACUGCCGGGCAUCCGGUGGUGUGGAAAGAUUUAUCGGUCGGGGAUGGGCUCGCGGCCUAUCAGCUUGUUGGUGGGGUGAUGGCCUACCAAGGCGACGACGGGUAGCCGGCCUGAGAGGGCGACCGGCCACACUGGGACUGAGACACGGCCCAGACUCCUACGGGAGGCAGCAGUGGGGAAUAUUGCACAAUGGGCGCAAGCCUGAUGCAGCGACGCCGCGUGGGGGAUGAAGGCCUUCGGGUUGUAAACCUCUUUCAGCAGGGAAGAAGCGCAAGUGACGGUACCUGCAGAAGAAGCACCGGCUAACUACGUGCCAGCAGCCGCGGUAAUACGUAGGGUGCAAGCGUUGUCCGGAUUUAUUGGGCGUAAAGAGCUCGUAGGCGGUUUGUCGCGUCUGCUGUGAAAACUCGGGGCUUAACCCCGGGCCUGCAGUGGGUACGGGCAGACUAGAGUGCGGUAGGGGAGACUGGAAUUCCUGGUGUAGCGGUGAAAUGCGCAGAUAUCAGGAGGAACACCGGUGGCGAAGGCGGGUCUCUGGGCCGUAACUGACGCUGAGGAGCGAAAGCAUGGGUAGCGAACAGGAUUAGAUACCCUGGUAGUCCAUGCCGUAAACGUUGGGCGCUAGGUGUGGGGCUCAUUCCACGAGUUCCGUGCCGCAGCAAACGCAUUAAGCGCCCCGCCUGGGGAGUACGGCCGCAAGGCUAAAACUCAAAGGAAUUGACGGGGCCCCGCACAAGCGGCGGAGCAUGCGGAUUAAUUCGAUGCAACGCGAAGAACCUUACCAAGGCUUGACAUACAGGGAAAACUCGCAGAGAUGUGAGGUCCGCAAGGGCCCUGUACAGGUGGUGCAUGGUUGUCGUCAGCUCGUGUCGUGAGAUGUUGGGUUAAGUCCCGCAACGAGCGCAACCCUUGUCCUAUGUUGCCAGCGGGUCAUGCCGGGGACUCAUAGGAGACUGCCGGGGUCAACUCGGAGGAAGGUGGGGAUGACGUCAAAUCAUCAUGCCCCUUAUGUCUUGGGCUUCACGCAUGCUACAAUGGCCAGUACAAAGGGCUGCGAGACCGCGAGGUGGAGCGAAUCCCAAAAAGCUGGUCUCAGUUCGGAUUGGGGUCUGCAACUCGACCCCAUGAAGUCGGAGUCGCUAGUAAUCGCAGAUCAGCAACGCUGCGGUGAAUACGUUCCCGGGGCUUGUACACACCGCCCGUCACGUCACGAAAGUCGGUAACACCCGAAGCCGGUGGCCCAACCCCUUGUGGGAGGGAGCUGUCGAAGGUGGGACUGGCGAUUGGGACGAAGUCGUAACAAGGUAGCCGU